rnacentral:rRNA from 1 species
AUACGGAGGGUGCAAGCGUUACUCGGAAUCACUGGGCGUAAAGCGCGCGCAGGCGGCUAUUUAAGUUGGAUGUGAAAGCCUACGGCUCAACCGUAGAACUGCAUCCAAAACUAUUUAGCUAGAGUGUGGGAGAGGAAGAUGGAAUUAGUUGUGUAGGGGUAAAAUCCGUAGAGAUAACUAGGAAUACCAAAAGCGAAGGCAAUCUUCUGGAACACUACUGACGCUGGGGCGCGAAAGCGUGGGGAGCAAACGGGAUUAGAAACCCCAGUAGUCC